GUUGAAACACCGAUUCUCUUACGAUCACUGAACUUAAGCAACGUCGAACCUGGUCAGUACCUAGAUGGGUGAACUCUUGGGAAUACGAGGUGUUGCAAG